AGGGUGCACUUUGGGACAGAACCCUGUUAUCGUUGUGGUGGUGACUUCCACUCCUCUUCCUGUUGUGAAGGUUGAAUAGCAGAUGGCUUUGAAGGUGAUGUUAACCGAAGGGGUGCAGUACUCCAUAACCACCUCUCCAUCACACCGUUGUCCAUAGGUAGGUCUUGUGACUAAAUCCUCUCCCCAUCACACCGUUGUCCAUAGGUAGGUGUUGUGACUAAAUCCUCUCCCCAUCACACCGUUGUCCAUAGGUAGGUGUUGUGACUAAAUCCUCUCCCCAUCACAUCGUUGUCCAUAGGUAAGUGUUGUGACUAAAUCCUCGCCCCAGACCGUUGUCCAUAGGUAGGUCUUGUGACUAAAUCCUCUCCCCAUCCCAAUAGGUCUGUUGUUGUGAGAGGAAAGGCCGUUGGUUUUCUAAGUGCUUGAAUGUUGUUUUCCUCCCAAG